AUUGAACGCUGGCGGCGUGCUUAACACAUGCAAGUCGAGCGGUAACAGGCGUAGCAAUACGUGCUGACGAGCGGCGAACGGGUGCGUAAUACAUGGGAAUCUGCCUAGUAGUGGGGAAUAACCCGGCGAAAGCCGGGCCAAUGCCGCAUACGAUCCACGGAUGAAAGCGGGGGACCUUCGGGCCUCGCGCUAUUGGAUGAGCCCAUGUCGGAUUAGCUAGUGGUGAGGUAACGGCUCACCAAGGCGACGAUCCGUAGCUGGUCUGAGAGGACGGCCAGCCACACUGGGACUGAGACACGGCCCAGACUCCUACGGGAGGCAGCAGUGGGAAUAUUGGACAAUGGGGCAACCCUGAUCCAGCGACGCCGCGUGUGUGAAGAAGGCCUGCGGGUU
rnacentral:rRNA from 1 species